CGGCAGGCCUAACACAUGCAAGUCGAGGGGUAACAGGAAAGCUUGCUUUCGCUGACGACCGGCGCACGGGUGCGUAACGCGUAUGCAACCUACCUCAUACUGGAGAAUAGCCCCUGGAAACGGGGAUUAAUACUCCAUGGUAUCAUUCUUUCGCAUGUUAGAAUGAUUAAAGAAUUUCGGUAUGAGAUGGGCAUGCGUCCCAUUAGCUAGUUGGUGAGGUAACGGCUCACCAAGGCGACGAUGGGUAGGGGGCCUGAGAGGGUGGUCCCCCACACUGGUACUGAGACACGGACCAGACUCCUACGGGAGGCAGCAGUGAGGAAUAUUGGUCAAUGGAGGCAACUCUGAACCAGCCAUGCCGCGUGAAGGAUGACGGCCCUAUGGGUUGUAAACUUCUUUUGAAUAGGAAGAAACUUAUCUACGUGUAGAUAACUGACGGU
rnacentral:rRNA from 1 species